CGGACAUCUUCAAAUCCCGUUCCUGCAGUCUGACGUUUUCCUGUGUUUGACAACAUCAACCAAAGUACUGAUGUUGUAGAGUUGGCGGCGGCUCAAUGGCUGCUCCCUGGCAACAGGGGCCGGUACCCACUGUUAAUGUUAUGUAGCAUCUUGACAAGUUGAAUGUGGCACAAAUCAACUCCUGCCUCAGAAAUGACCUGGAUCUGCUUCAACAACAAGGCCAUCCGUAGACACUAUCUCACUGGCUCUCCACUCUGCCGAGGACUGUCUGGAUAACAGGAACAAAUACAUCAGCCAAAGAUGAGAGAGAAGAAGAGAGAAAAAGCAAGAGAGAGCGUGGAUGUGCAAGGAUAGAACCCCUAGACUACCAAAGUUGUGGAGCCAGAGUGAAUUAAAGGCUGAUCGCCUCGUUCUUUGUGGAAUCAUGCGUGAGAGUGUGUUGACAGGACAACAAGCAAUGCAUCCCAGAAUUAACACGGGGAGAUCUCCAGACGCUCAGCCUAAUUGAUCAUGUUGGCCUAAUAUGAAU